rnacentral:rRNA from 1 species
UACGAAGGGGGCAAGCGUUGUUCGGAAUUACUGGGCGUAAAGGGCGCGCAGGCGGCCAGACAAGUCAGAUGUGAAAGCCCCGGGCUCAACCUGGGAAUAGCAUUUGGGACUGUUUGGCUAGAGAUCGGGAGAGGAGAGUGGAAUUCCCAGUGUAGAGGUGAAAUUCGUAGAUAUUGGGAAGAACACCGGUGGCGAAGGCGGCUCUCUGGACCGAUACUGACGCGUG